rnacentral:rRNA from 1 species
UGGGGAAUAUUGCACAAUGGGCGCAAGCCUGAUGCAGCCAUGCCGCGUGUGUGAAGAAGGCCUUCGGGUUGGAAAGCACUUUCAGCGGGGAGGAAGGCGAUAAGGUUAAUAACCGUGUCGAUUGACGUUACCCGCAGAAGAAGCACCGGCUAACUCCGUGCCAGCAGCCGCGGUAAUACGGAGGGUGCAAGCGUUAAUCGGAAUUACUGGGCGUAAAGCGCACGCAGGCGGUCUGUCAAGUCGGAUGUGAAAUCCCCGGGCUCAACCUGGGAACUGCAUUCGAAACUGGCAGGCUAGAGUCUUGUAGAGGGGGGUAGAAUUCCAGGUGUAGCGGUGAAAUGCGUAGAGAUCUGGAGGAAUACCGGUGGCGAAGGCGGCCCCCUGGACAAAGACUGACGCUCAGGUGCGAAAGCGUGGGGAGCAAACAGG